GAUGAACGCUGGCGGCGUGCCUAAUACAUGCAAGUCGAGCGAACAGACGAGGAGCUUGCUCCUCUGACGUUAGCGGCGGACGGGUGAGUAACACGUGGAUAACCUACCUAUAAGACUGGGAUAACUUCGGGAAACCGGAGCUAAUACCGGAUAAUAUAUUGAACCGCAUGGUUCAAUAGUGAAAGACGGUUUUGCUGUCACUUAUAGAUGGAUCCGCGCCGCAUUAGCUAGUUGGUAAGGUAACGGCUUACCAAGGCAACGAUGCGUAGCCGACCUCAGAGGGUGAUCGGCCACACUGGAACUGAGACGCGGUCCAGACUCCUACGGGAGGCAGCAGUAGGGAAUCUUCCGCAAUGGGCGAAAGCCUGACGAAGCAACGCCGCGUGAGUGAUGAAGGUCUUCGGAUCGUAAAACUCUGUUAUUAGGGAAGAAAAAAUGUGUAAGUAACUAUGCACGUCUUGACGGUACCUAAUCAGAAAGCCACAGCUAACUACGUG
rnacentral:rRNA from 1 species